rnacentral:rRNA from 1 species
AAGCGCGCGUAGGCGGUUACGUAAGUUGGAUGUGAAAUCCCCGGGCUCAACCUGGGAAUUGCAUUCAAAACUGCGUGGCUAGAGUGUGGGAGAGGAAGGUAGAAUUCCAGGUGUAGCGGUGAAAUGCGUAGAUAUCUGGAGGAAUACCGAUGGCGAAGGCAGCCUUCUGGCCUAACACUGACGCUGAGGUGCGAAAGCAUGGGGAGCAAACAGGAUUAGAUACCCUGGUAGUCCAUGCCGUAAACGAUGUCUACUAGCCGUUGGGGGACUUGAUCCUUUAGUGGCGCAGCUAACGCAUUAAGUAGACCGCCUGGGGAGUACGGUCGCAAGACUAAAACUCAAAUGAAUUGACGGGGGCCCGCACAAGCGGUGGAGCAUGUGGUUUAAUUCGAUGCAACGCGAAGAACCUUACCUGGCCUUGACAUGUCUGGAAUCCUGUAGAGAUACGGGAGUGCCUUCGGGAAUCAGAACACAGGUGCUGCAUGGCUGUCGUCAGCUCGUGUCGUGAGAUGUUGGGUUAAGUCCCGCAACGAGCGCAACCCUUGUCCUUAGUUGCCAGCACGUAAUGGUGGGAACUCUAGGGAGACUGCCGGUGACAAACCGGAGGAAGGCGGGGACGACGUCAAGUCAUCAUGGCCCUUACGGCCAGGGCUACACACGUGCUACAAUGGUCGGUACAAAGGGUUGCCAACUCGCGAGAGUGCGCUAAUCCCAAAAAGCCGAUCGUAGUCCGGAUUGGAGUCUGCAACUCGACUCCAUGAAGUCGGAAUCGCUAGUAAUCGCGGAUCAGAAUGCCGCGGUGAAUACGUUCCCGGGCCUUGUACACACCGCCCGUCACACCAUGGGAGUUUGUUGCACCAGAAGUAGGUAGCUUAACCGCAAGGAGGGCGCUUACCACGGUGUGGCCAAUGACUGGGGUGAAGUCGUAACAAGGUAA